rnacentral:rRNA from 1 species
UGGGGAAUAUUGCACAAUGGGCGAAAGCCUGAUGCAGCGGCGCCGCGUGAGCGAAGAAGUAUUUCGGUAUGUAAAGCUCUAUCAGCAGGGAAGAAGAAAUGACGGUACCUGACUAAGAAGCUCCGGCUAAAUACGUGCCAGCAGCCGCGGUAAUACGUAUGGAGCAAGCGUUAUCCGGAUUUACUGGGUGUAAAGGGAGCGUAGGCGGUUUUAUAAGUCUGAUGUGAAAGCCCGGGGCUCAACCGCGGGACUGCAUUGGAAACUGUAGAACUAGAGUGUCGGAGGGGUAAGUGGAAUUCCUAGUGUAGCGGUGAAAUGCGUAGAUAUUAGGAGAACACCAGUGGCGAAGGCGGCUUUACUUGGACGAUUACUGACGCUGAGGCUCGAAAGCGUGGGGAGCAAACA